rnacentral:rRNA from 1 species
GAGUGAGGGNCCUCCGGGUCCAACCUCCCACCCGUGUUUAUUCGUACCUUGUUGCUUCGGCAGGCCCGCCUCACGGCCGCCGGGGGGCUUCUGCCCCCGGGCCCGCGCCUGCCGGAGACAAUUCUGAACGCUGUCUGAAGAAUGCAGUCUGAGCGAUUAGCAAAAUUAGUUAAAACUUUCAACAACGGAUCUCUUGGUUCCGGCAUCGAUGAAGAACGCAGCGAAAUGCGAUAAUUAAUGUGAAUUGCAGAAUUCAGUGAAUCAUCGAGUCUUUGAACGCACAUUGCGCCCCCUGGUAUUCCGGGGGGCAUGCCUGUCCGAGCGUCAUUGCUGCCCUCAAGCCCGGCUUGUGUGUUGGGCCCUGUUCCCCCGGGAACAGGCCCGAAAGGCAGUGGCGGCACCGCGUCCGAUCCUCGAGCGUAUGGGGCUUUGUCACCCGCUCUGUAGGCCCGGCCGGCGCCCGUCGACCCCCCAACCUUUUUUUUUCAGGUUGACCUCGGAUCAGGUAGGGAUACCCGCUGAACUUAAGCAUAUCAAUAAGCGGAGGAAAAGAAACCAACAGGGAUUGCCCCAGUAACGGCGAGUGAAGCGGCAAGAGCUCAAAUUUGAAAGCUGGCUCCUUCGGGGUCCGCAUUGUAAUUUGCAGAGGAUGUUUCGGGAGCGGCUCCCAUCUAAGUGUCCUGGAACGGACCGUCAUAGAGGGUGAGAAUCCCGUAUGGGAUGGGGUGUCCGCGCCCGUGUGAAACUCCUUCGACGAGUCGAGUUGUUUGGGAAUGCAGCUCUAAAUGGGUGGUAAAUUUCAUCUAAAGCUAAAUAUUGGCCGGAGACCGAUAGCGCACAAGUAGAGUGAUC